rnacentral:rRNA from 1 species
GACGUAGGGCGCGAGCGUUGUCCGGAUUUAUUGGGCGUAAAGAGCUCGUAGGCGGUUUGUUGCGUCGGCUGUGAAAUCCCGAGGCUCAACCUCGGGCCUGCAGUGGGUACGGGCAGACUAGAGUGGCGGGUAGGGGAGAUUGGAAUUCCUGGUGGUAGCGGUGGAAUGCGCAGAUAGUCGAGGAGGAACACCGGUGGCGAAGGCGGCUAUCUGGACAGAAACUGACGCUGAGGCGCGAAAGCUAGGGGAGCAAACAGG